rnacentral:rRNA from 1 species
UUCUUACUGAUUAAUAAUAAUAAGUAUCCCCUGCUCAAUGACUAUUUAAAUAGCCGCGGAAAUUUAACUGUGCUAAGGUAGCAUAAUCAUUAGCCUCUUAAUUAGAGGCUUGUAUGAAAGGGGAAACAUUUCUAUUUCUAUUUUAUUUAAUUUAUUUAAACUUAAACUAAGAAUAAAAAUGUUCUUAUAGCAUAAAAAGACGAUAAGACCCUUUUGAACUUUACUGAAGUUAAGCUGGGGCAGCUAUAAAAUUACUAUCUUUCCUUUUGUAUUUUAAUAGAUGACCCAAUUCAUUUGAUUACUCGAACAAGUUACCAUAGGGAUAACAGCGUAAUAUCUUUUAAAAGCUCUUAUUUAAAAAGAAGAUUGCGACCUCGAUGUUGAAUUAGUGAAUCUUUACAGAUGCAAUAAUUUUAAAAGAGGGUCUGUUCGACCCUUAAAUCACUACAU